AAGGGAAGGGAAGGGAAGGGAUGACCCUCUCUUUCUGUUUCAUAUCUCUAUCUCCAUUACCUCCUGCCCUUUGGAGGUUCUCCCUGUGCUCCCCACCACCAGAGUCUCUUUCCAUUUACCCAGCACCUUUUGGUUUUUGUCUCCCCUCAGCCCCUUGCUUUUUACUGACCUCCCACACAGUGCUGCCAUCACUGCUGGCUCAGAAGGAGGCCCCAGAGCUGCUGAUGUGUGUGUCCAGGGGCGCUAUCCCUCUUCCAGCAACUUAGUGACUGUAAUUAUUGAAAAACCUGAGAUGCAGUUGGCAGAAGCAGCAGGGGAAAUGGUGUCGUGAUGGUGUGAAUACUCACUAGCAGCAGCAGUGGGUGGAGGCAGCUCCAGGGACCGCUGCACACCUGCGGGGCUGCUCCCGUGCCCAUCUGCGCCUUCCUCCUGACCCUGGGGGGAAGUGUUUAAGCACAACCAUCCCUGGGUGGCCUGCUCUGGCUGACACUGCCGGGGCAGGACAAGGGGAUGAGCCAGGUGACCGGGUGUCUGACCAGUGGGAAUGUCAGAGGUUGGCUUCUGGGUGACUGGGCUGGGUGGACCUCCUCAUGCACCAACACUCCCCACUAUGAGCUUUCAUGGGAACAUGUGGUAGGUAGAGGAAUAAAGCAGAGGCAAAACA